UGCGUCCAGGGAAAGACGCAGGUCGAUAAGGACAUCGAUCAGGAAAUCGCGGGAUGCGAUUCAUCAGGAUGAUGAGUAAGGAAGGGAGCGGGCGGGUAAAUCCCGCCCCUUUUUUU
rnacentral:sRNA from 1 species